AUGACAAGCACUUUGAAAAGAGGGUGAAAAGAGCCUGAAACCGUUACGGGGGAAGCGGAUUGCAUUGGAUUGGAACGGGUAUUUUGGUGUUCAGCCCUUUUGGGUGUAUUCACUUUGAUACUCAACUGCCGUGGGUUUCUGGGGGGUGAUUUUGAUCUCCUAGGGACUGAGGGCUCCCCUUUUUUUUGGGUUGAGGACGGCAGUGUGACGAUGCGAUACGACCCGUCUUGAAACACGGACCAAGGAGUCUAGCGCGGUUGCGAGUCGAAGGGUGUCAAAACCCGUGGGCGAAGUGAAAGCGAGUGAAUUUUUUAAAAACGAGCAGUUUGAGGCGGCAUAAAAUCGUUGAUUUUAGGUCCGACCUUGAGCAGUUGCGCUGGGACCCGAAAGAUGGUGAACUAUGCCGGAGUAGGGCGAAGCCAGGGGAAACCCUGGUGGAGGCUCGUAGCGGUGCUGACGUGCAAAUCGCUCGUCGAACUUGGGUAUAGGGGCGAAAGACUAAUCGAACCAUCUAGUAGCUGGUUCCCUCCGAAGUUUCUCUCAGGAUAGCUGGGUAACAGGGUUGUUUUGUGC
rnacentral:rRNA from 1 species